rnacentral:tRNA from 1 species
GUCUCGUUGGCGCAAUGGCUCAGCGCGCCAGACUUCUAAUCUGGAGGUUAUGAGGCAAGUUGCUAUUUCGAUGCUCACGACAAAUCGUUAACCCUACCUGUCCAGUUCGAAUCUCGUACGAGACU